GAUGAACGCUGGCGGCGUGCCUAAUACAUGCAAGUCGAGCGAACAGACGAGGAGCUUGCUCCUCUGACGUUAGCGGCGGACGGGUGAGUAACACGUGGAUAACCUACCUAUAAGACUGGGAUAACUUCGGGAAACCGGAGCUAAUACCGGAUAAUAUAUUGAACCGCAUGGUUCAAUAGUGAAAGACGGUUUUGCUGUCACUUAUAGAUGGAUCCGCGCCGCAUUAGCUAGUGGGUAAGGUAACGGCUUACCAAGGCAACGAUGCGUAGCCGACCUGAGAGGGUGAUCUGCCACACUGGAACUGAGACACGGUCCAGACUCCUACGGGAGGCAGCAGUAGGGAAUCUUCCGCAAUGGGCGAAAGCCUGACGGAGCAACGCCGCGUGAGUGAUGAAGGUCUUCGGAUUGUAAAACUCUGUUAUUAGGGAAGAACAAAUGUGUAAGUAACUAUGCCCGUCUUGACGGUACCUAAUCAGAAAGCCCCGGCUAACUACGUG
rnacentral:rRNA from 1 species